UCAAGAAUGCGCCUCCGAGCCUGAUGCCCUAAAAGAGAUUUUAUCUCUCAGGGGCGUCGGGCCGAUGGGUUUCGCCGGAAACAGCGGAGCCUCCCUGUUUUCGGAAAGGAGACCAUUGCCUUGGGCU
rfam:Pelobacter carbinolicus DSM 2380, complete genome.